GCUAGUAAUCGCAGGUCAGCAUACUGCGGUGAAUACGUUCCCGGGUCUUGUACACACCGCCCGUCACACCAUGGGAGGCCGGAAAUGCCCGAAGCCAGUGACCCAACCUUAGGGAGGGAGCUGUCGAAGGUGGAGCCGGUAACUGGGGCGAAGUCGUAACAAGGUAAC
rnacentral:rRNA from 1 species